rnacentral:rRNA from 1 species
AGAGUAUUAUUGGAGUUUAUUAAGAAAAAGUUAUUAAUUAAAGUAAUUUUAGGGAAUGAAUUUUAGUAUAGUUUAUGGAAUUUAUGGAGUAAAUGAUAGAGUAUUAGUACUGUGAAGGAAAUGUGAAAUAGAUGAAAUAGUUAUUYGGGGGRAAGAAGAAUAUAAUUUGUACCUUGGGUAUCAGGGUUUAUUAAUUAAUGAUAAUGAUUUAUAGUUCUCGAAAUGAAAAGAGUUAAAAUAUUAUGGUAGUUAAUGUGUUAUUAUUAUUACUAAUGUUAUUUUAGGGAUGAAAUGUUAAACGUUUUUUAAGAUAUCUAGUUUUCUAAGAGAUGAAUUUAAUUCAUGUUAUUGAAAGUAAGAAUUUAAUUUGAUUAGUGACUUAUUUUUCAAUAUCAAAUAUAUAAAGGGAUAAGCUUUUGUAUAAGUCCUAUAAGUUGUAAGGGUUAGAUAAGGUAGUAGGCUUUAAAUUAGCCAUUUAUGAGAUAAUGUUGUAAAUUGCUUUGUGGAAAAAAUUAUUUUUAAUAGGUUUAGGUUGUUUAUUAGAAUAUKUUAUUUAAUAGAUUUAUAUGAGURAUGAUGAUGAAAUGAGUAUAUAAGAAAAUUGUUUAUCAUUUAGGUUAUUAGAAUUUUUAAUAAGGAAUUAGGCAAAUUAUCACUCGCCUGUUUAUCAAAAACAUCUCCUUUUGAUUUUAUAUAAGGUAGGGCCUGCCCACUGAAGGUAUUUGAAGGGCCGCGGUAUUAUGACCGUGCAAAGGUAGCAUAAUCAUUAGUCUUUUAAUUGAGGGCUGGAAUGAAUGGUUUGACGAGGUGAUAACUGUCUCAUUAUAAUAGGUAGAAGUUAACUUUUAAGUUAAAAGGCUUAAAUUUUAAUAGAGGACGAGAAGACCCUAUAGAGCUUUAUAUAUAUAUUUAAAUUUGUAUUUAGAAGUUUAUAAGAGUUUAGAUUGAUUAUAUUGUGUUGGGGUGACAUAAAGAUAAAAUGAACUCUUUAUUUAAGCGACAUUGAUGUAUGGAUAUUUGAUCCAUUUUUAGUGAUUAUAAGAUUAAGUUACCUUAGGGAUAACAGCGUAAUUUUUCUUGAGAGUUCAUAUCAACAGAGAAGAUUGCGACCUCGAUGUUGGAUUAAGGAAUAUAAUUAGAUGCAGCAGUUUAAUUAAUAGGUCUGUUCGACCUUUAAAUCCUUACAUGAUCUGAGUUCAGACCGGUGUAAGCCAGGUCGGUUUCUAUCCAUAUUAGAUUAUUAUACUUUAGUACGAAAGGACCAAGUAUUGUAAAUAUUUUAUUAUAUUUGAUAAUUAAUA